UCAAGCCUGCUUGUAAAGAAAAAGGAAAGGAAAAGGAAUAACGCUUAGUACAUAUCUGAGGAAAUAUCAUCCAGGUUGCAAAAAUAUCUGCCUGUCAGAAUUCAGGAGGGAUGUGGGAGCAAGGCGAUGAGUCAGACCCACAGGCUGAGGCGAGGGUUCUUGUGAGCCUCUUCAGUCCAGAGGUUUCCUGGGCAACCGUUUAUGCAGCAGUUAACCGCGGAGAAGCAUGAGCUUUCCACUUGAAUGGCCAGGAGGAUAGCAUAAAAAGGAAACAAAGCUGUGUUUCUCCCUCUGUGGAAUACCCCUUUAUAGAGUUGGUGAUUGAAUGUGGACUUGCCCUGAAUUCCAUUUCAGUGAGCCAGAGGCUCUCCUGUUCAGGGACCAGCAGAAGAAGGAAAUCCUGCUAGGUAGAGGUGAUGCUUCUGCCUUAGGAAUG